CAACUAGUGGAUUUGGCAAGAUGUCGGAAUAGCUGAAAGUCACACAAAAUCAUAAAAUGUUUGCCGUUUUGUUAUUGUUGUGA
rnacentral:pre_miRNA from 1 species